rnacentral:rRNA from 1 species
UACGGGGGGGGCAAGCGUUGUUCGGAAUUACUGGGUGUAAAGGGUUCGUAGGCGGUGCGGCAAGUCGGGAGUGAAAUCUCUGGGCUUAACCCAGAGGCUGCUUCCGAAACUGCUGUGCUUGAGUGUGGGAGAGGCGCGUGGAAUUGCAGGUGUAGCGGUGAAAUGCGUAGAUAUCUGCAGGAACACCCGUGGCGAAAGCGGCGCGCUGGACCACUACUGACGCUGAGGCGCGAAAGCGUGGGGAGCGAACAGG